AAACACUGACAGUUAAUUAAGGUAUUACAGCACGUUUAGGUCCAACGUUUUGGUCAAUAUAUAUGUAGCCUGGUGGUAAAUUGGUUCAGAUGUAAUUUUCCACUUAGGUGAGGUAUAGCUCUCAAAGUUGUUUGAAUGUUAAUACAUGUGUUCUUUGUUGUUUUCUUCUGAGUUUAAAAUUGUUUCAGUCUAAUUAACAUUUGAGGCAAAUUGUAAGUGUCACAGUCUCACUUGUUAUUGCUGAUUUUGGUCACAAGGUGGCAGCGUUGAGUAAUAUUACUGUCACUCUGCCAAAUGCAUCUUGGUCUUUCUUCCUGUUUUACGUUCAAACAACAGGAGAUUUGCAGAGUGGGCGGUGCUGUGACUCCGUCGUGUAAAGUAGUAGACACUAGUGGAGUUCAUGACCUGGGAUUUUGCCACCAGCCGUCGGCCACUGUGUUCUCAAUUGCACAGCAAGAUGUAGGAGGGACGAUCAUCUAGAUGACAAGUGCUGUGACACUUCAGCUCUGCCCGAACACAGACAGGAGGAAGACCUCAGUGAUGAAGCCUGACUCUGCAACACUGAAGCUUCACCACUAGAGGACAGUGAAACAUCAGAGAUACUGAAGCUUAUUGGACUCACACACUGAAGGAGAGCGAUGUAAGAAAUACCACCUGCUGGACUGCAGCUGCUGAGACAUUUCAGCUCUGCCUCGGUAUAAGACUGAUGGACUGUUAUUGUGAUCACCUGCACCUGGAGAGCUGCAUAUGUGAGGAAGGACACAAAAUGUCAUUAGUUACCGGAGCUGAACCCGACCUGCAUACUGGGAGUCUUCACUAAGGUCCUCAGGCUAUGAGGAAUUCUGCCACUGAUGACGACGUUCAUG